rnacentral:siRNA from 1 species
CUAUAUCUACCUUUUAGAGCGUGC